rnacentral:rRNA from 1 species
GAUGAACGCUAGCGGGAGGCCUAACACAUGCAAGCCGAGCGGUAGAGUUCCUUCGGGAACUUGAGAGCGGCGUACGGGUGCGUAACACGUGUGCAACCUACCUUUAUCUGGGGGACAGCCUUUCGAAAGGAAGAUCAAUACCCCAUAAUAUAAUGAUUGGCAUCAAUUAUUAUUGAAAACUCCGGUGGAUAGAGAUGGGCACGCGCAAGAUUAGAUAGUUGGUGAGGUAACGGCUCACCAAGUCAAUGAUCUUUAGGGGUCCUGAGAGGGAGAUCCCCCACACUGGUACUGAGACACGGACCAGACUCCUACGGGAGGCAGCAGUGAGGAAUAUUGGACAAUGGGUGAAAGCCUGAUCCAGCCAUCCCGCGUGAAGGAUGACGGUCCUAUGGAUUGUAAACUUCUUUUGUACAGGGAUAAACCUACUCUCGUGAGGGUAGCUGAAGGUACUGUACGAAUAAGCACCGGCUAACUCCGUG